CCUACGGGGGGCUGCAGUGAGGAAUAUUGGUCAAUGGGCGAGAGCCUGAACCAGCCAAGUCGCGUGAGGGAGUACUGCCCUAUGGGUUGUAAACCUCUUUUGUCGGGGAGCAAAAGCCGGACGUGUCCGGCUGUGAGAGUACCCGAAGAAAAGGCAUCGGCUAACUCCGUGCCAGCAGCCGCGGUAAUACGGAGGAUGCGAGCGUUAUCCGGAUUUAUUGGGUUUAAAGGGGGCGCAGGCGGAUUUUUAAGUCAGCGGUAAAAUCGUGGGGCUCAACCCCAUCCAGCCGUUGAAACUGGGGAUCUAGAGUGUGCGAGAGGUAUGCGGAAUGCGUGGUGUAGCGGUGAAAUGCAUAGAUAUCACGCAGAACCCCGAUUGCGAAGGCAGCAUACCGGUGCACAACUGACGCUCAGGCACGAAAGCGUGGGUAUCGAACAGGAUUAGAUACCCGUGUAGUC
rnacentral:rRNA from 1 species